GUCUGGAGCAAAACUGCUGAGGUUUGAGGCCCCGUUUUGCUGCUCACUAGCUACAUGAUCUUGGGCAAGUUAUUUAAGCUCUCUGAGCUUCAGUUUCUUCCUCUGCAGAAUGGGGAUGAAAGUGGACUACUACCUCAUGGCAUGUUUUGAGGAUGAAAUGAGCUAAUAAACACAGUCUUCAGCCCUACAUUAGGAUGGCCUAAGGAAAACAAGAAGACUGAAUGAUAUUCCCUGCUGACUUAUAUAAGUUAUUAGUCUUCUAGAAGGAUCACAAGGAACCAGCAUCAAAGAAAUGGAAUCCAGCUAAUUCCCCCAAGAAACUGAAGUUUUCGGGACAUGACUUGUGAAAGGCAAACAUAAGCUGACAUCUUUUCACACUGAACAGCAAGAGCCAAAGUGUAUCCGAAAAGCCAUUGUCAAAACAAGGAGUGAGAACAGCUGGGGUCAAGACCUAAUGAAGGGCAUCACUCAGCCUCUUUGAGCCUCGGAUUCCUCAUUUGUAAAGUGGGCAUAAUAAUACCUCACAGGGUAGUUAUGAGGGCAAAUGAGAUAAUGGACACGAAGGCACCUGUACACUCCACGGUGCUAUCAGAAUAUUGACUAUUAGUGCUUUCAUCACGCGGCUCCAUCCAAACCCCUGCUUUCCCUCACUCCAACAGGCUUUUACUCUGUCACCCAUGCUGGAGUGCAGUGGUGCAAUCUUGGCUCACUGAAACCUCUGCCUCCUGGAUUCAAGCGAUCCUCCCACCUCAGCCUCCCGAGUAGCUGGGACUACAGGCAACCUGGCGGUUCCCCGCUCCAGGGAGGUCACCCUCUUGAUGCUGAAUUUAGCACGGACACCUGAUGGGCACAGUGCACUGCAGCCCAGAGCUCCUGAGCUCAAGCCAUCCUCCUGCCUCAGCCUCCAAGUAGCCAGGACCACAGGCACGCACCCUGAGGAGGAAGAAAUACCAGGUGCGCAUGCUCCAAGAAAAAGCCAUCUGAGGACGCGGCAAGAAGGCCGCCAUCUACAAGCCAAGGAGAGGGGCCUCAGGAGAAAUCGAACCUGUCACACCUUGAUCUUGGACUUCCAGCCUUCAGAACUGUGAGAAAGUAAAUUUCUGUGUUCAAGCUACCAGGUCUGUGGGAUUUUUUAUGGCAGCCCUAGCAGACUAAGACAGGCAUCAAUGGUUCCAAUGUUUUCAUUUUUUUUCCGGUAAGCAGACCGAAGCCCAGAGAGAUGAAGCAAUUUGCCCAAAGUCACAUACCAAGUUAACUGAAGAGUUGGGGUUAGAAUCCAGCUCUUGUGACUUCUCUCUUUUCAGUUUCCCUUCCCACUCCCCCCACUGAAAAGCUUUUGAGUGACUCUUUUAGAAAUCCCGGUUCUGUAUAUGAAGCAGAAUUGAGCACAGCUGCUCUAAUGAAGGGCUCAGAGCUCCCAGGCUUUUCUCUCUCCCCUGCCCCUUUUCCCUGUUGCACCUCUGCAGUGUCCUGAGGGUUGAUGGAAUCUAGUUUGAAAGCUAUUGCUCUACCUCACUGCCUCCUGAAUGCAAUGUCACAAAUUUUCCCAACUUGCCAUUUCUCUCACACUGACAUAAAGCAUUAGAAACCUGUUGUGAAGUAGGAAAGCUAACUGGGUCAGUAGCUGAUAAGAUAAUCUGGCCUAGGGGAUAGAUGAUUAGGAUUUCAGAGAAGGAAAGGUCACCCAAUUGAUUUGACUCUGUCCUGGGGCGAUGAUAUGGUGAAGAUUUCUACAGAUGCAGCAGAAACAUCCGGAAACCAGGUGUGUCCCAGCUCUGGUCUGGGAACCAUUUCAUAAAUUGGCAAAUAUCCAGGAUAUACACAUGGCUAAUUCUGAGGUGUACUGAAGUUUCAAUAAAGCUACUUUGGUAAUGACUAGGAGAAGAAAAUCCUAUGGCUGGACUUCAUUAAUGUUGUAUGGCCAAGGACAGUGUUUCUCUAAUUAUGGCCUGUGAACCUCCCUGGAUCUCGAUCACCUGCAUAUUUGGGAAUAUGCAGGUUCCAGGGUCCCACCUGAAACUACAGAAUCAGUAUUGAGAUCCCAGGUGAUUCUCAUGUACACUCAAGUGUAAGAUUAUUAGCACCUGGACUUUGGAAGCAGCCAGAUAAAAGUUUGGAUCCUGGGUUGGCUACUUCCUAGAUGUGGCCAAGUCAUUUUACUUGCCAUGCUUUUGCUUUUCUUGUCUGUAAAGUGGACAUGAUACCUAUUUUACAGGGUGGUUUUGAGGAAUAAGGUCAGCAUUAAACAUUUAUCCUCUUUAGGGAGACAGAGAGAGGAGAUGAAAUAGAGUAGAAUUGAGAAAAGCAGUUUCUUAGACCUCCCUGUGAAGUUUUUCUUAUUUCAACAAAUAAUAAAAUAAAAAAUUCAUACACUU
rnacentral:lncRNA from 1 species